rnacentral:lncRNA from 1 species
GAAAGUAGAUGGUAGCAAAAUGGACGGACACGUGAGAGCUACAACGCUUUCAAGAGAACAACGAAAUAAAAAUUACGUACCGAACAAGGCAAUUAUUCGAGAGGAGGUACAAGGGUACAAACUCGAACUGAAUUAGAAUCAAUGAAGAAAUGCAUUCACUGUUGAGUAUCAAAUCAAUGAAGAAAAUGUAUCCCCUUUGCUGUGUUUCCUGUCCUCUGAUUGUCAUCAUUAGAUCAUCUGUAUUACGACAUUAAAUCGACAUGAAAACAAGAAUCAGUGAGAAAAAUGAUAACAUGGGCUUGAAUCAUGGUUCGGUGAUAUAAAAAAUAAUUGUUUAAAAUGAUAGUCAAAUAUUAGCCUUCAACUCAGAAAAGCAGAAAACAUGUGUCAUUGACGUAUAACACUAUACAAAAACAACCCCUAAAAGGAACUAUACAAAAACUUGAUGCUGGAAUACAAUAAUCAUGAAAAUGGAAGCAAAGGAAGCCUUCUGCUGCACUGCUAAAUGAACAUUGAACUAAACUAGUAAUUGCAUAGAAACUAAAAACGACCUUCUUGGUGAUGUUUAGAAAGGCAAGUAGGGAUGUCACCUAGGUAAGAAAAACAAAACAAUGUUAGAAUGCAUGCCACAUGAUUUCGUAUUCCUACUUCCAAGUCUCUAUUUGGAAGAAGUCUGAUGUUACUCCCCAUCAAAGAGCAGAUGAUUAGAGACACAUUGAUAGUCUACUUAGUCCGGCUCAGUCACCUAAGAUAACAACAAUUUUAGAAUAGAGAAAUAUUGACUUCAUCAUAACAUGGAGUAAAUUGCAAAAAACCACCACAAUUGUGCAAAACUCAGCAAACACCCACUAAAAUGCAUGUUUUCUGGUUGUUCUUUUGUGAACCAUUGAUAACUAUGACCCGAUUGUAGUGGUUUUUGAAAUUUACUCUCAUAACAUGCACAUGAACUGAACCGUCUCCCUCCCUCCCUCGUGCCCCCCCCUCGCGCCACCACCUAGGGCGAUGCCAGGGGGACCAACUCGUCCACGCCGCGGGUCCUCCCGCGAGGUAGUCCCUGCCGCCGUUGGCGCCGGCACUGGCCACGGUGGUGGCGGCGUCCGAUGGCAGAAGGGCUAGGGCAGGAGGAUUGCGUCGGAUCUCCUAUGAGGCAGAUGGGGCGCCUCGUGUGGGAUCCUCGCACGACAGCCGCGGCAGCGUCCUGGCUGUGCGGCGGCAGGCGGCGAACUCAUUGCUCGCGAGGCACUCUGGUGGGAUCCUCCACUAUGCAAUGGACGGAGGCGGUGGCCGUGGAUCUAGCGUCCUGGCCAGAUCCGUCGUGGUUCGGCUUUUGCCUGCCGGCGGCACGUGAUAGGGCCGGGGUGGGGUGGUCGGAGGUCCCCAACCGACUUUCCAACAACUCUGUAUGUCUACAUGACGACGGUGAGCUCAGAUCCAGUCAGCGGCGAGAUCGUGGUGGCGCUACUUUCUGUGAAAAACGCGUCGACUUCGGUUAGAGCGGAUGAUGACGAUGUCUUCGACGUCAUUCCCGUGUUGAAGCAUCAUCAUUGCAAGUUGCGUUAACAUGAUCGAGAUGUUCCGAGAAAACUAUAGAUUCUAGUCUAUCAGAUCGGACGACGAGGACGCCUUCGGUGUCGUUCUCCCUCCCGGGGCAUCGUUUUGGAGCAGGAGCUGGCUGGAGGGGAUAAGAGAAGGAGUGGUGUUACAUAUACCGCAAGGCCGGCGAUGGAUCCCGGCGGCAUGGUGCUGCGGAGUUGCAACGACGGACGCGUGUGGAUGGAUACGUAACUAGAUGAUGCGUAACGAUUCCUUAGAUAGUGUUCCUUACCCUAGAAGUUAGACCCCAACAAACUGUAAUCACGUACUGCUGCAACCUUAAGAAUGCCCUUUAGAGCAUCUCUAAUAGAUGUUGUAUAUUUUGGUGUUGUAAACUAGGUGUUGUAUAAUUUACAACACCAAAAAGUGUUGGGAACGUUGCAUGGAAAACAAAAAAUAUCCUACGCACACGAAGACCUAUCAUGGUGAUGUUCAUCUACGAGAGGAAGAUCGGAUGCACAUACCCUUGUAGAUUUCUAAGCGGAAGUGUUAAUAAAUGCGGUUGAUGUAGUGGUACCUCUUCACGAUCCGUCCCUUGAACUGUCCCAUGACCCGUCUCACGAACCGUCUCGUGAUCCGUCCCGAUCAAGUGCCGAACGGACGGCACCUCCGCGUUCCGCACACGUACAGCUCGAUGACGAUCUCCGCCUUCUUGAUCCAGCAAGAGAGAUGGGGAAGUAGACGAGUUCUUCGGCAGCGUGACGGCGCGCCGGUGAUGGUGAUGAUCUAUUCUUGCAGGGCUCCGCCCAAGCUCCGCAGAAAGCCGAUCUAGAGGAGGAACUACGAUCUAGAGGAGAGGACAGCAC